rnacentral:lncRNA from 1 species
GACUCCUACGGGAGCCAGACUUCGUCCCGACUUCAACUGCAGGUAGACUUCAUCCGAACUUCUACGAGAGCUGGACUUCAUCCCCAACUUCAACCACAGGUAGAUCUCAUCCGGACUCCUACGGGAGUCAGACUCUGUCCCUAACUUCGACUGCAGGUAGACUUCAUCCGGAUUCCUACAGAAGCCGGACUUCAUCCCCGACUUCAACUACAGGAGUCAGACUUCUGCCUUGAACUCCUAUUGCAGGUAGGCCUCACCCCGAACUCCUACGAGGGCCAGACUCCGAGCUCCUACCGCAAGCGACCCACUCCGAGUUUUCGCUACAAAUGAUCUACUUCAAAUUUCUACCAUGAGCGGUCCGUGUCGGAUUCCCACC